GGGUUGUGAGGUUAAGCGACUAAGCGUACACGGUGGAUGCCCUGGCAGUCAGAGGCGAUGAAGGACGUGCUAAUCUGCGAUAAGCGUCGGUAAGGUGAUAUGAACCGUUAUAACCGGCGAUUUCCGAAUGGGGAAACCCAGUGUGUUUCGACACACUAUCAUUAACUGAAUCCAUAGGUUAAUGAGGCGAACCGGGGGAACUGAAACAUCUAAGUACCCCGAGGAAAAGAAAUCAACCGAGAUUCCCCCAGUAGCGGCGAGCGAACGGGGAGGAGCCCAGAGCCUGAAUCAGUGUGUGUGUUAGUGGAAGCGUCUGGAAAGGCGCGCGAUACAGGGUGACAGCCCCGUACACAAAAAUGCACAUAUUGUGAGCUCGAUGAGUAGGGCGGGACACGUGGUAUCCUGUCUGAAUAUGGGGGGACCAUCCUCCAAGGCUAAAUACUCCUGACUGACCGAUAGUGAACCAGUACCGUGAGGGAAAGGCGAAAAGAACCCCGGCGAGGGGAGUGAAAAAGAACCUGAAACCGUGUACGUACAAGCAGUGGGAGCACAGAGCAAUCUGUGUGACUGCGUACCUUUUGUAUAAUGGGUCAGCGACUUAUAUUCUGUAGCAAGGUUAACCGAAUAGGGGAGCCGAAGGGAAACCGAGUCUUAACUGGGCGUUAAGUUGCAGGGUAUAGACCCGAAACCCGGUGAUCUAGCCAUGGGCAGGUUGAAGGUUGGGUAACACUAACUGGAGGACCGAACCGACUAAUGUUGAAAAAUUAGCGGAUGACUUGUGGCUGGGGGUGAAAGGCCAAUCAAACCGGGAGAUAGCUGGUUCUCCCCGAAAGCUAUUUAGGUAGCGCCUCGUGAAUUCAUCUCCGGGGGUAGAGCACUGUUUCGGCAAGGGGGUCAUCCCGACUUACCAACCCGAUGCAAACUGCGAAUACCGGAGAAUGUUAUCACGGGAGACACACGGCGGGUGCUAACGUCCGUCGUGAAGAGGGAAACAACCCAGACCGCCAGCUAAGGUCCCAAAGUCAUGGUUAAGUGGGAAACGAUGUGGGAAGGCCCAGACAGCCAGGAUGUUGGCUUAGAAGCAGCCAUCAUUUAAAGAAAGCGUAAUAGCUCACUGGUCGAGUCGGCCUGCGCGGAAGAUGUAACGGGGCUAAACCAUGCACCGAAGCUGCGGCAGCGACACUGUGUGUUGUUGGGUAGGGGAGCGUUCUGUAAGCCUGUGAAGGUGUACUGUGAGGUAUGCUGGAGGUAUCAGAAGUGCGAAUGCUGACAUAAGUAACGAUAAAGCGGGUGAAAAGCCCGCUCGCCGGAAGACCAAGGGUUCCUGUCCAACGUUAAUCGGGGCAGGGUGAGUCGACCCCUAAGGCGAGGCCGAAAGGCGUAGUCGAUGGGAAACAGGUUAAUAUUCCUGUACUUGGUGUUACUGCGAAGGGGGGACGGAGAAGGCUAUGUUGGCCGGGCGACGGUUGUCCCGGUUUAAGCGUGUAGGCUGGUUUUCCAGGCAAAUCCGGAAAAUCAAGGCUGAGGCGUGAUGACGAGGCACUACGGUGCUGAAGCAACAAAUGCCCUGCUUCCAGGAAAAGCCUCUAAGCAUCAGGUAACAUCAAAUCGUACCCCAAACCGACACAGGUGGUCAGGUAGAGAAUACCAAGGCGCUUGAGAGAACUCGGGUGAAGGAACUAGGCAAAAUGGUGCCGUAACUUCGGGAGAAGGCACGCUGAUAUGUAGGUGAAGUCCCUCGCGGAUGGAGCUGAAAUCAGUCGAAGAUACCAGCUGGCUGCAACUGUUUAUUAAAAACACAGCACUGUGCAAACACGAAAGUGGACGUAUACGGUGUGACGCCUGCCCGGUGCCGGAAGGUUAAUUGAUGGGGUCAGCGCAAGCGAAGCUCUUGAUCGAAGCCCCGGUAAACGGCGGCCGUAACUAUAACGGUCCUAAGGUAGCGAAAUUCCUUGUCGGGUAAGUUCCGACCUGCACGAAUGGCGUAAUGAUGGCCAGGCUGUCUCCACCCGAGACUCAGUGAAAUUGAACUCGCUGUGAAGAUGCAGUGUACCCGCGGCAAGACGGAAAGACCCCGUGAACCUUUACUAUAGCUUGACACUGAACAUUGAGCCUUGAUGUGUAGGAUAGGUGGGAGGCUUAGAAGUGUGGACGCCAGUCUGCAUGGAGCCGACCUUGAAAUACCACCCUUUAAUGUUUGAUGUUCUAACGUUGACCCGUGAUCCGGGUUGCGGACAGUGUCUGGUGGGUAGUUUGACUGGGGCGGUCUCCUCCUAAAGAGUAACGGAGGAGCACGAAGGUUGGCUAAUCCUGGUCGGACAUCAGGAGGUUAGUGCAAUGGCAUAAGCCAGCUUGACUGCGAGCGUGACGGCGCGAGCAGGUGCGAAAGCAGGUCAUAGUGAUCCGGUGGUUCUGAAUGGAAGGGCCAUCGCUCAACGGAUAAAAGGUACUCCGGGGAUAACAGGCUGAUACCGCCCAAGAGUUCAUAUCGACGGCGGUGUUUGGCACCUCGAUGUCGGCUCAUCACAUCCUGGGGCUGAAGUAGGUCCCAAGGGUAUGGCUGUUCGCCAUUUAAAGUGGUACGCGAGCUGGGUUUAGAACGUCGUGAGACAGUUCGGUCCCUAUCUGCCGUGGGCGCUGGAGAACUGAGGGGGGCUGCUCCUAGUACGAGAGGACCGGAGUGGACGCAUCACUGGUGUUCGGGUUGUCAUGCCAAUGGCACUGCCCGGUAGCUAAAUGCGGAAGAGAUAAGUGCUGAAAGCAUCUAAGCACGAAACUUGCCCCGAGAUGAGUUCUCCCUGACCCUUUAAGGGUCCUGAAGGAACGUUGAAGACGACGACGUUGAUAGGCCGGGUGUGUAAGCGCAGCGAUGCGUUGAGCUAACCGGUACUAAUGAACCGUGAGGCUUAACCUUACAACGCCGAAGGUGUUU
rnacentral:rRNA from 1 species